rnacentral:sRNA from 1 species
ACUCGAACGACCCCCGCGAGUGCGCAC